rnacentral:rRNA from 1 species
AUUGAACGCUGGCGGCAGGCCUAACACAUGCAAGUCGAGCGGAGCGGCGGACGGGUGAGUAAUGCCUAGGAAUCUGCCUGGUAGUGGGGGAUAACGUCCGGAAACGGGCGCUAAUACCGCAUACUAUCAGAUGAGCCUAGGUCGGGUUAGCUAGUUGGUGGGGUAAAGGCCUACCAAGGCGACGAUCCGUAACUGGUCUGAGAGGAUGAUCAGUCACACCUGGAGUGUGAACUGGUCCAGACUCCUACGGGAGGCAGCAGGGGGGAAUAUUGGACAAAUGGCGAAAGCCUGAUCCAGCCCUGACGCGUGUGUUAAGAAGGUCUUCGGGUUGUAAAGCACUUUAAGUUGGGAGGCGUUACCAACAGAAUAAGCACCGGCUAACUUCGUGCCAGCAGCCGCGGUAAUAC